AAAGGAAUAGACGGGGGCCCGCACAAGCGGCGGAGCAUGUGGAUUAAUUCGAUGCAACGCGAAGAACCUUACCUGGGCUUGACAUAUACAAGAUCGCGCCAGAGAUGGUGUUUCCCUUGUGGCUUGUAUACAGGUGGUGCAUGGUUGUCGUCAGCUCGUGUCGUGAGAUGUUGGGUUAAGUCCCGCAACGAGCGCAACCCUUGUCUUAUGUUGCCAGCACGUUGUGGUGGGGACUCGUAAGAAACUGCCGGGGUUAACUCGGAGGAAGGUGGGGAUGACGUCAAAUCAUCAUGCCCCUUAUGUCCAGGGCUUCACACAUGCUACAAUGGUCGGUACAGUGGGUUGCCAGUCCGUGAGGGCGAGCUAAUCCCGCAAAGCCGGUCUCAGUUCGGAUCGGGGUCUGCAACUCGACCCCGUGAAGUCGGAGUCGCUAGUAAUCGCAGAUCAGCAACGCUGCGGUGAAUACGUUCCCGGGCCUUGUACACACCGCCCGU
rnacentral:rRNA from 1 species